CAAAGAAUAGUUUAACUUAGAAUCCUAGCUUUGGGAGCCAGGGGUGGGAGUUAAAAUCUCCUUUCUUUGA
rnacentral:tRNA from 1 species